ACGGGGAGCAGCAGGCGCGAAACCUCUGCAUAGGCGAAAGCCUGACAGGGUUACUCUGAGUGAUGCCCGCUAAGGGUAUCUUUUGGCACCUCUAAAAAUGGUGCAGAAUAAGGGGUGGGCAAGUCUGGUGUCAGCCGCCGCGGUAAUACCAGCACCCCGAGUUGUCCGGACCAUUAUCGGGCCUAAAGCAUCCGUAGCCUGUUCUGCAAGUCCUCCGUUAAAUCCCCCUGCUCAACGGAUGGGCUGCGGAGGAUACCCCAGAGCUAGGAGGCGGGAGAGGCCAACGGUACUCAGUGGGUAGGGGUAAAAUCCAUUGAUUUACUGAAGACCCCCAGUGGCGAAGGGGGUUUGCCAGAACCCGCUCGACCGUGAGGGAUGAAAAGCCGGGGGAGCAAACCCGAUUAGAUACUCCGGUAGUCCCCCCUGUAAACAUGCAGACUCCGUGAUGGGUUGGCUUCCAGCCACCCAGUGCCCCAGGGAAGCCUCUAAUCUGCCCCCGGGGAUCCCGUCCCAGACUCAACUCUAGGACUGGCCGGGGGACCCC
rnacentral:rRNA from 1 species